rnacentral:rRNA from 1 species
UACGUAGGGGGCAAGCGUUGUCCGGAUUUAUUGGGCGUAAAGAGCGUGUAGGCGGCCAUGUAGGUCCGUUGUGAAAACUCGAGGCUCAACCUCGAGACGCCGAUGGAAACCAUGUGGCUAGAGUCCGGAAGAGGAGAGUGGAAUUCCUGGUGUAGCGGUGAAAUGCGCAGAUAUUAGGAAGAACACCAGUGGCGAAGGCGGCUCACUGGCCCGGUACUGACGCUGAGGCGCGAAAGCGUGGGGAGCAAACAGG